rnacentral:lncRNA from 1 species
CCGCGCGGGGUCCGGAUCGGCUUCGGGCCGCGCGCUCUUAUUCAGGCGCCCGGGGCCACACCUCUGGGCUCCGCCUUCCCCAGCACUGCCCGGGUAGGGGCGGCCCUCUGGCGCCCUCCCACGGUGGGGAAUGUAGUGCCCGGCCUGCAGGGGUCGCGCGGGCUGGAUGCCGGGGUCCGAGCGUCUCCCGGGCAGCCACGCACGCGCCGGCCCAGCGCACCGGUGAGUGCGGUGAGCCGGGUGCGCGAGUGCGCGCACGACCCGCCCGCCCCAGCCUGCAGGCCCGCCUCGCUGCUGGGGGAAGGUUGGGUCCGAGACGCCCGCGGUGCCCCUCCUGGCCGCGCGGAGCGCCGGCGCUGCCGGUUAAAGUGUAGCGGGGCUGGGCCGGGCCGCCGGCGCCAGCUCCUCCGACUCCGCCGCCGACCGUCCCGGCACUCAGACCGACCUGCCCACGACAAUCAAAAAUAACAUGAGGACUGGCCCUGCCCACCCCCACCCCCCAACCUCGAGCCUGAAUCCUUCACAUCUGGGUGUGAGGUGGGUGUUUCUUAAUUGAGAUUUUAAAAACUGAUUGAAAAUGUGUUUGAAGGAGGAAGCAGAUAGCAAACCUUUCUGGAAUGCCCCGACUUCUGUGGAAGAGGGUGGAGUCCCUGAGCCAAGACCAGGCUCCUGGCCUCAGCGUUUCUCCCACUCUGCCUUCUUUCUUUUCCUCCGUUAGCAGGGAGAUUUGAGACUUAAAACAGACAGCAAAAACAGAAGCCCUUUCUGUUAUGGAAAAUUUGGAACACGUACAGAAUUAGCCAGAAGAGAGUAUUGAACCCCACAUACCAUCUCCUCAUGGGCGAUCCUGUUUCGUUUGCCCCCCAAAUCCCUGGGUUAUAAACAAAAUCCCAGAUACUAUUUUUUUUUUCUGUUGGUAUUUCAGUAGGUUCUGAAAGAGUCAUUGUAAGCAACAUAACCACGAGACCAGUGUCACAUCUGACAAACAGUGACCUCUAAAUACCCUCCAAUAUCCAGUCAGCGUUCAAAUUCCCAGGACCUGAAUGAAAGCCAUAGGUCAUUCUCUUUCAGUGUCUGGCUUUCCCUCAGUCUCUCUCUACCUUGUUUGUUUUUCACUUGAACUUGUGGAAGAAAUGUCCCUUGGCCAGCAUUCCGUGCUUGAGGUCCCUCAUGUCCUUGCACACCUUCCUCUGACAUUUGAAUUUCCCCUGAAUCGGUGGGUGGAUUUAGAAGUGUGAGUAGACUCAGGCCUGGGGGUUUUUGGUGAGGAUAUUUCAUUGUGUCACCCCUGUCUCCACUUGAGGGGAAAAUCAUUUGAUUUUUCAGUUGCAUCCUGGUGGUAGGGA